rnacentral:rRNA from 1 species
UCUACGGGUGGCAGCAGUGAGGAAUAUUGGUCAAUGGGCGCGAGCCUGAACCAGCCAAGUAGCGUGAAGGAUGACUGCCCUACGGGUUGUAAACUUCUUUUAUAAAGGAAUAAAGUGAGGCACGUGUGCCUUUUUGUAUGUACUUUAUGAAUAAGGAUCGGCUAACUCCGUGCACGCAGCCGCGGUAAUACGGAGGAUCAGAGCGUUAGCCGGAUUUAUUGGGUUUAAAGGGAGCGUAGAUGGGUUGUUAAGGUCGUGGUGAAAGUUUGCGGCUCAAACGUAAAAUUGCAAUUGAUACUGGCAGCCUUGAGUACAGUUGAGGUAGGCGGAAUUCGUGGUGUAGCGGUGAAAUGCUGAGAUAUCACGAAGAACUCCGAUUGCGAAGGCAGCUUACUAAACUGCCACUGACAUUGAUGCUCGAAAGUGUGGGUAUCAAACAGGAUUAGAUACCCCAGUAGUC